rnacentral:lncRNA from 1 species
AUUUCUCGUUUUCUCGUUUCCGCCUCCCGUUUCUCCUCUAUAUUCCAUCCACUCGCUCGAACACUCUACCUAUUUCGCCACCCCCAGGAACCCUAACUGGUUCCAUCACCACCACCCUAAAACCCUAGACGAAACGAUCCCGCGGAGGAGGAGGAGGGGACCUUUCUAGGGCUUUGUUGGGAGGGGCGGAAGAGUAGAGAAGCUAUGUGGAACGGGGCGACACCGCCGCCGCCGCCUCCGCCGUCGUCGUCGAUGGCGCCGCCUCCUCCGCCGUCGUCGUCGGGGGCGCCGCCACCGCCGGGAACAACCGGAGCCCCGGGGACGCAGCCGCCGCCGCCGCCGCCGCCUCCGGCGGUGCAGCCGUCGUACAGCAUACCGCCAUCGGCCGCGGAGCUGGAGGCGCAGCUGGUGGAGAAGGCAAGG